rnacentral:lncRNA from 1 species
GUGCUAGUUAUACAAAAGACAAUCCUGAAAAUAGUCCCUGCUUUCAAGGAGUUUAUAAUCAACUGGAAUAUUUGGAGGGACUCAAAGAGCCUCUGUUUCAAUUACGCUUCCAGAAAAUCUCCUGAGGUCCCUCCCCUUGUUGUGGCUGAGACUCCUUCAAUUUCCCAGACUGUAACUCCAGUUCUAUGGUUUGAAACCUCUAUCACACCAUUUAUAAGACAUACUGCUGAAGACAGAGGAAAUGUUUUGAAAUAG